AUGGGAAGUAGACUUCUUUGCUAUGUGAUUCUUAGUUCUCUUGGAACUGAAAAACUAGAAGACAUAAGAUUCUGCCCUUCCCCGGAAAUGGUCACCAGGCUCUUCUGUGUGGCUCUUUGUCUCCUGUGGGUAGGACACAUGGAUGCUGGGAUCACCCAGAGUCCAAGAAACGAGAUCGCGAGGACAGGAAAGAAUGUGACUCUGAGAUGUUACCAGACAGAGAACUAUGACUAUAUGUACUGGUAUCGACAAGACCUGGGACAUGGACUGAGGCUGAUCUAUUAUUCAAUCAAUACUGGCAGCACUGAAAAAGGAGAAGUCUCCGAUGGGUACAAUAUCUCCAGACCAAAUACAGAGGAGUUCCACCUCAUACUGCCUUCUGUUACCUCCUCCCAGACAUCUGUGUACUUCUGUGCCAACAGUUACCCCACAGCGCUGCACAGCUGCCUCCUCUUUGCACAUAAAUGUAGUUGGACUGAGUCACCCUGA